rnacentral:rRNA from 1 species
AUUGAACGCUGGCGGCAGGCCUAACACAUGCAAGUCGAGCGGAUGACGGGAGCUUGCUCCUUGAUUCAGCGGCGGACGGGUGAGUAAUGCCUAGGAAUCUGCCUGGUAGUGGGGGACAACGUUUCGAAAGGAACGCUAAUACCGCAUACGUCCUACGGGAGAAAGCAGGGGACCUUCGGGCCUUGCGCUAUCAGAUGAGCCUAGGUCGGAUUAGCUAGUAGGUGAGGUAAUGGCUCACCUAGGCGACGAUCCGUAACUGGUCUGAGAGGAUGAUCAGUAAAACUGGAACGGAGACACGGUCCAGACUCCUACGGGAGGCAGCAGUGGGGAAUAUUGGACAAUGGGCGAAAGCCUGAUCCAGCCAUGCCGCGUGUGUGAAGAAGGUCUUCGGAUUGUAAAGCACUUUAAGUUGGGAGGAAGGGCAGAAAGUUAAUACCUUGCUGUUUUGACGUUACCGACAGAAUAAGCACCGGCUAACUCUGUGCCAGCAGCCGCCGUAACAC